CACCGCGGUUAUACGAGAGGCCCAAGUUGAUAAACAGCGGCGUAAAGAGUGGUUAAGGAACACUGACAAACUAAAGCCAAACACUUUCAGAGCUGUUAUACGCACCUGAAAGCAUGAAGCCCAACCACGAAAGUGGCUUUAUCACCCCUGAACCCACGAAAGCUAAGAAA
rnacentral:rRNA from 1 species